rnacentral:rRNA from 2 species
ACGGGAGGCAGCAGUGGGGAAUAUUGCACAAUGGGGGAAACCCUGAUGCAGCGACGCCGCGUGGAGGAAGAAGGUCUUCGGAUUGUAAACUCCUGUUGUUGAGGACGAUAAUGACGGUACUCAACAAGGAAGCCACGGCUAACUACGUGCCAGCAGCCGCGGUAAAACGUAGGUGGCAAGCGUUGUCCGGAAUUACUGGGUGUAAAGGGAGCGCAGGCGGGAUGACAAGUUGGAAGUGAAAACUAUGGGCUCAACCCAUAGCCUGCUUUCAAAACUGUUAUUCUUGAGUAGUGCAGAGGUAGGCGGAAUUCCCGGUGUAGCGGUGGAAUGCGUAGAUAUCGGGAGGAACACCAGUGGCGAAGGCGGCCUACUGGGCACCAACUGACGCUGAGGCUCGAAAGUAUGGGUAGCAAACAGGAUUAGAUACCCUGGUA